rnacentral:pre_miRNA from 1 species
GUUGUUUGUUUGAUGCAUGGGGUAGAAGAGAGAGAAAAGAAGAAAAAAGAGGAGGAGGAGGAGGAUAUCAGUCAGUGUUUGCUGGUGUAGCAUCAUCAAGAUUCACAUCUUGUAAGAGAUCCCUUUGAAUCGGUGGGAUCACACUUCACUACAUAAGAUCACGAUUUAGAGAGGGAAAGCUGACCAUAAGAUGGGAAUCUUGAUGAUGCUGCAUCGGCAAUAAGUGACUUUGUGUUUCACCGUUCGUUGCCACCCUCAUUUGCACUCUCCUCGGCAAAGGUGAGAGAAACAGAGGAC